rnacentral:rRNA from 1 species
GUGUCAGCCGCCGCGGUAAGACGUAGGAGGCGAGCGUUAUCCGGAUUCACUGGGCGUAAAGCGCAUGUAGGCGGCUGUGCAAGUCGUGUGUUAAAGCCCCUGGCUCAACUGGGGGAGGUCAUGCGAGACUGCGCGGCUGGAGGACAGUAGAGGCACAUGGAACUCCCGGUGUAGCGGUGGAAUGCGUAGAGAUCGGGAAGAACACCCGUGGCGAAGGCGGUGUGCUGGGCUGUUUCUGACGCUGAGAUGCGAAAGUGUGGGGAGCAAACGGGAUUAGAUACCCGUGUAGUCC